AAGCCACGGCUAACUACGUGCCAGCAGCCGCGGUAAUACGUAGGUGGCAAGCGUUAUCCGGAAUUAUUGGGCGUAAAGAGGGAGCAGGCGGCAGCAAGGGUCUGUGGUGAAAGCCUGAAGCUUAACUUCAGUAAGCCAUAGAAACCAGGCAGCUAGAGUGCAGGAGAGGAUCGUGGAAUUCCAUGUGUAGCGGUGAAAUGCGUAGAUAUAUGGAGGAACACCAGUGGCGAAGGCGACGAUCUGGCCUGCAACUGACGCUCAGUCCCGAAAGCGUGGGGAGCAAAUAGGAUUAGAUACCCUAGUAGUCCACGCCGUAAACGAUGAGUACUAAGUGUUGGAUGUCAAAGUUCAGUGCUGCAGUUAACGCAAUAAGUACUCCGCCUGAGUAGUACGUUCGCAAGAAUGAAACUCAAAGGAAUUGACGGGGGCCCGCACAAGCGGUGGAGCAUGUGGUUUAAUUCGAAGCAACGCGAAGAACCUUACCAGGUCUUGACAUACUCAUAAAGGCUCCAGAGAUGGAGAGAUAGCUAUAUGAGAUACAGGUGGUGCAUGGUUGUCGUCAGCUCGUGUCGUGAGAUGUUGGGUUAAGUCCCGCAACGAGCGCAACCCUUAUCGUUAGUUACCAUCAUUAAGUUGGGGACUCUAGCGAGACUGCCAGUGACAAGCUGGAGGAAGGCGGGGAUGACGUCAAAUCAUCAUGCCCCUUAUGACCUGGGCUACACACGU
rnacentral:rRNA from 1 species